rnacentral:rRNA from 1 species
GACGAACGCUGGCGGCGUGCUUAACACAUGCAAGUCGAACGGAAAGGCUCCAGCUUGCUGGAGUACUCGAGUGGCGAACGGGUGAGUAACACGUGGGUGAUCUGCCCUGCACCUCGGGAUAAGCCUGGGAAACUGGGUCUAAUACCGGAUAGGACCGCACUUUGGUGUGUGUGGUGGAAAGGUUUUUCUGGUGUGGGAUGAGCUCGCGGCCUAUCAGUUUGUUGGUGGGGUAAUGGCCUACCAAGACGGCGACGGGUAGCCGGCCUGAGAGGGUGGACGGUCACAUUGGGACUGAGAUACGGCCCAGACUCCUACGGGAGGCAGCAGUGGGGAAUAUUGCACAAUGGGGGAAACCCUGAUGCAGCGACGCCGCGUGGGGGAUGAAGGCCUUCGGGUUGUAAACUCCUUUCGCUAGGGACGAAGCUUUUUGUGACGGUACCUGGAGAAGAAGCACCGGCUAACUACGUG